AUUGAACGCUGGCGGCAUGCCUUACACAUGCAAGUCGAACGGCAGCACGGGGGCAACCCUGGUGGCGAGUGGCGAACGGGUGAGUAACAUAUCGGAACAUACCCUAGAGUGGGGGAUAACGUAGCGAAAGUUACGCUAAUACCGCAUACGAUCUAAGGAUGAAAGUGGGGGAUCUUCGGACCUCAUGCUCAUGGAGUGGCCGAUAUCUGAUUAGCUAGUUGGUGAGGUAAAGGCUCACCAAGGCGACGAUCAGUAGCUGGUUUGAGAGAACGACCAGCCACACUGGAACUGAGACACGGUCCAGACUCCUACGGGAGGCAGCAGUGGGGAAUUUUGGACAAUGGGGGGCAACCCUGAUCCAGCAAUGCCGCGUGAGUGAAGAAGGCCUUCGGGUUGUAAAGCUCUUUGUCUAGGGAAGAAAAGGUACGUGGGCUAAUAUCCACGACUGCUGACGGUACCCUGAAGAAUAAGCACCGGCUAACUACGUAGCCAGCAGCCGCGGUAA
rnacentral:rRNA from 1 species